GGGGAUGUUUUGGUUUUGACAGCAUACUCAAUCGGAUUGUAAGCACGUCGAGCGUCGUGAAGCCGGCUCGUAAAUCCCGGAACUCAAGCCUUAACUGGCAACAACAACUAUGCACUCGCUGCGUAAUUAAGCCAUGCUUAAUCGCUUUAUCGCCGCCGGCUAGGUCCGGCCGUGACGAGUAUCCCGCAGAACUUUAUUCCUGUUAUGUUCUGUAUAUGGGGUAUCAAACAAACAGGAUGCUGGCGUUUACUCCUCUAAGGCGUCUUAAGAAACAGAGGAUAAGUUUUGAGUAGCCUGCCUCCCGGCAGCUCAUUACCCACAAUUAAAGAGAGGAUAAGCGUGUAGAAAGCUUUUGGAUGGUUUGUUUGGACGGCGGUUCGAGUCCGCCCAUCUCCAC
rnacentral:tmRNA from 1 species